GACGAACGCUGGCGGCGUGGAUUAGGCAUGCAAGUCGAACGGUAUCUAGUCCUUUCGGGGGUGAGAGAGUGGCGAACUGGUGAGUAACUACGUAGGUUAUCUACCCUCAAGACGGGACAACCCAGGGAAACUUGGGCUAAUACCGGAUGUGAGCAACUUUUAGUUGUUUGAAAGGUGGCGUAAGCUGUCGCUUGGGGAUGAGCCUGCGUCCUAUUAGUUAGUUGGUGAGGUAACGGCUCACCUAGGCAAUGAUAGGUAGGCGGCCUUAACGGGUGGUCGCCCACACUGGGAUUGAGAUACGGCCCAGACUCCUACGGGAGGCAGCAGUCGAGAAUAGUCUACAAUGGUCGGAAGACUGAUAGUGCGACGCCGCGUGAACGAUGAAUCCCUUCGGGGUGUAAAGUUCUUUUAUAUGUGAGCAGUGCUUCUUAUAUUAACAGUAUGGGGAGAGAGAUAUUAGCAUAUGAAUAAGCAACGGCUAACUCCGUG
rnacentral:rRNA from 1 species